rnacentral:lncRNA from 1 species
GCCCCAGCCAACCAGGACACACCGUGUGGCAGAGACGUUGACGCGGAAGGGAGCCACGUGGGUGAUCUGUGUGCGCGCGAUCGAACGGCUGAGAUCCGUUCUUGCGUGUACGGAAGGCUCAGAUCAAAAGCGCGUACGAAUGGCCCAGAUUACACGCGUACGGACAUCUCAGAUUGAAUCGCCCACGGACAGUCCAGUUUGUAUCGUGAUGAACGGCCCAGAUUUAUUUCCUAUUUAAUCGCGAUCGGACGGUCUAGAUUAAAUCACGAUGGACGGCUCAGAUUAAAAGCAGAAGGUUAUAAAUAAUUUCAUCCACACCCAAACCCUAACCCUAGCAGCCAGAGCCCUCGCUGGAGAAGACAGCUCAGCCACUGGAGGACCGACCACCGCCACCCGCCGCGGCACCGGAGCACCUUCCGGCUGCCAAACGAGGUAAAAAUUCUCCCCUUGGCUCGGAUUUCGAUUCUAAACCCACAUGUGGCCAAAUCAAAGACAAAACACAGGUCAAUUAGUCGAAAAACACCGUUGAAGCCCAGCGGCGCCACUGCGGGUUUUCUCAGUUUUUACCUCCGAUGAGGCCCUUCUCGAUUCUCGUUCGAUGUAAUUUUUACACCAUUGUUACCACCGUUCCUUCCUCUACAGGUUGACCGGAGCAAAACACCAAAUCGCAAUUCGAGACUGAGGAGCUGCCGCACUGGAGAGCCUCGCCGCUGAUAAAUUUCAAUUUUCAGUGUUUUUUCAGCCCAUCGAGGGCCCUAGGGGUGUUUUAUCACAGGAACCAAUGCAAGUUUGGCCAAAAACGGCCAACCCGAGGAGGAUCAUCGUCGCCGAAGCACGGUGGAGCUGUCGUGCCGGAAUUUCAAAAUUGGUCGAGUAGGCCCUGGGUCUGAUUUUGACUUAUUUGGGGACAUGUGCAGGUACAGUAAGUGUGUUUCAGUUCCCGAGAAAAAA